rnacentral:rRNA from 1 species
AGCCAUUAGCCAAACAAGUACUAAAGGUAACGCCUGCCCAGUGAGUCCAUACUUAAACGGCCGCGAUUAAACGCGCGAAGGUAGCGCAAUCACUUGUUUCAUAAAUUGGGACCCGUAUGAACGGCCACAUGAGAAAGAAACUGUCUCUUGAAGGUAACCAAUGAAACUGAUCUUCCUGUCCAAAAGCAGGAAUAAUAAAGCAAGACAAAAAGACCCUGUGAAACUUAAAAUCAAGCAUUAAAAUAAUAAUGCCCAACUUUUAGUUGGGGCAACUUAAGAUACACAAAACAUCUUACUACGUCUAAACCAACAAGUUUUAACCACCAAACACAUGACCCGGCACCGCCGAUCAACGAACCAAGCUACUCCAGGGAUAACAGCGCUAAAUUCUUUAAGAGUCCAUAUCAACAAGAAUUAUUACGACCUCGAUGUUGGAUCAGGGCACCCGAACAGUGCAGAAGCUGUUAACGGUUCGUUUGUUCAACGACUAAGACCCU